rnacentral:rRNA from 1 species
GUGCCAGCAGCCGCGGUAAUACGUAGGGGGCAAGCGUUGUCCGGAUUUAUUGGGCGUAAAGAGCGUGUAGGCGGUUAGGUAGGUCCGUUGUGAAAACUCGAGGCUCAACCUCGAGACGCCGAUGGAAACCAUCUGACUAGAGUCCGGAAGAGGAGAGUGGAAUUCCUGGUGUAGCGGUGAAAUGCGCAGAUAUCAGGAAGAACACCCGUGGCUAAGGCGGCUCUCUAGUACGUGACUGACGCUGAGACGCGAAAGCGUGGGGAGCGAACAGGAUUAGAAACCCGCGUAGUCC